rnacentral:lncRNA from 1 species
GCUUUGUUCUUCUGUUAUAAUGACUGACGAUCAUAAUCAGGAAAGGGUAUGCCUGGUGUUAAUGCUUCAUUUUUUCCCUUUUAUUCACAGGCAGUUGGAGUGAUCAAGCUUUCAAAUCCCUGAAAACGUGAGCUGUGCUAUGUCUGGGGCAGGCUCCAUAUUUUUAUUAUGUACCACACAACUCUAAAAGCAAUACAGAAAUUCAGGGCACUUAGAUUGAAAAAUGAACACUUUCCACAUUUAAAGGAGAAAGACUUACAUAUUUUUGGAGUUACAUACAUUCUUCAUCCCAUUUAUGAAAUCCAAAACCCACGGUUGGGCAUAAAGCAGGAGAUUUAAUACUCUUCUGCUGGUGGGUUUUGUUGAUUUUUACUGCCCCCUCCACCCACCCCUACCUUAUCCCACUCCAUCCCCUCUGCUCUUUUUGUUCUUCAUAGUUUUGUGCUAACUUCAGAGCUGCAAAUGUGUCAUUGAUCACAGAUUUAUAUAUAUGAGCUAAGAGCAGGAAUGCUAAAAUAAUUUCUUUCUCAGGCCUUAAAGAUAAAUGAUAGGUCAAGAUGCUUUACUUCAUAGCCAAACAUACUAAGGCACAGAGCAACAUGGCAGGAAUUUGAGUUGUGAGCGCCAGAAGUGCUUGUUCAGCACUAACAAGAAAUAGGAGAAUAGGAUCAGUAUAAUCUCAUAUUCUUAUUAAAUUAAAAAAAGACAGAGAGUAAUGCCAAGGUUAUGACAUGAACUGACAAGACCAAAAAAAAAAUCAGUUUUUCUGAUGCUUCAGCCUUUGCAAGCAUAGGAAAGAAUUAAAAAAAAAAAAAAAAAAAGCCCUGUGGCAUGAGUUAUAGAUGAAGUAUCUGCCUUUAGCUUGGAAUUUCCUGGCAUUUUUCAGCCUGUGACACAGACUUGAUGUGAUUAAACAAAGGCUUUUCUCCAAAUUUAAAGCUCUUAAAAAAAAAAGCUGAAUCUAAUACUCUAACUUGUUUUUAAAUGGGAGCAGAUGCCUCUGUUUCUUGAGCUGACUUCCAGAUUCUGAGAAAUAAAUGAAGAGUGGAGGCUUGUUUUGGUAGAGGCUGAGAAAAGGAGUUGGCCAUAUUUGCCCUUCAGAACUUCGUGUCAUCCCCCAGCUCCCCAACGGCAGGGCCACAUUCUUUCACAGGACGGAGUUGGGGCAGAUUAUGGCUUCCUCUGGAUUGGAUUUCCCUUGGCUUCCCUGAGGGCAAUCCCCCGAGGAAGCACAUCCUGGAGCCAAACUCACCCAAUGAACCACAGCAACAGCUCCUAGGAGAAUGAAGAGUGUGAAUGGAUGGCCUUUUCAAAAUGAUGAGCCUGGAAGAGUUACAGACUCUGGCCCGAAAGAACCAAAGUUGAAGGUAGAGAUGUUUUAAGGAUGAGCAGAGCAGAACAACUUAGCAGUGGGAUGUUAAAGGCAACAUGAAUCAAACAUGGUAAUUAGAAACCAGGAAGACUGAGAAGGAAUCAAAUUUGCAGCAGCUCAGUAAGUGGUAGACUGGGAACAAGAAGCCAGUUCUCUGGGCUCUUGAAGCAAGGCCCUGCCACGUUGUCUUUCCCCAGGAGAGGAGGAAACUGGGGAGGGAAUCAUGUUCCAGCAGUGAAGAACAAAGGCAGUUUUUUGGGGAUUUACAUACGCCAUCUCCUACAAAGUUAAAAAAUUUUCUUUUCCUGAAAGACUACAAUCAAGAUACAAACAUGUACAAUGG